UACGGAGGAUCCGAGCGUUAUCCGGAUUUAUUGGGUUUAAAGGGUGCGUAGGUGGAUUUAUAAGUCGAUGGUGAAAGUUUGCAGCUUAACUGUAACAUUGCCGUUGAAACUGUAGAUCUAGAGUGCAAAUGAGGUAGGCGGAAUGUGUUGUGUAGCGGUGAAAUGCAUAGAUAUGACACAGAACUCCGAUUGCGAAGGCAGCUUACUGGGAUGCAACUGACACUGAUGCACGAAGGCGUGGGGAUCAAACAGGAUUAGAUACCCUGGUAGUCCACGCAGUAAACGAUGAAUACUAACUGUUUGCGAUAUACAGUAAGCGGUACAGCGAAAGCGUUAAGUAUUCCACCUGGGGAGUACGUUCGCAAGAAUGAA
rnacentral:rRNA from 1 species